rnacentral:lncRNA from 10 species
AAGAAUGUUAACUUCCAUUAUGUGAGAGCAGAUGAAACCAAAGCCUUGGGCCCACACAGCAAACCUUUGGGUAGCAACGAGUUCUAGAAAAAUGGAGCCUAAGGAGUCCAGAUUGUUUUUCCUUGAAAUACCAAGCAACAACUACCCAGUCCUCUGCAUGAAAGAGCCCUCCCUCAAGAGCUUGGAAGCAACACAAAAUGGGGAGUAGACCAGGUCUACUAUCAGCACAGAGAUAAGAGACUCUGAACAGAGAAGACGGAUCCAAGGGGGACAGCCUGGAGUCGGGGGACCCAGCUGGAGGCCAGCACAGUUGCCUGGGCGAGAGGUGAGCCCUCCCUCCUGGAGAGGUGAGCCCUUCAGAGGAAGAGAUGAGAAACGGAAACCCCUGACUCAUUACCAUCGGCCUUGGCUUGCUGUUCCAUUGGCAGCCCUUUCUACCUGUGAUCAACACAUGCCUAUCUAGCAGCAUACUAACUCUGUCUCUCAUUCUAGAGCACGCAUCCGCCCAGAGUUAAUAAGUUUUAGAAUGUCGGCGUCCUGUCAUUGCAUCAUCCACAGAUUCAGUGACCAGAGAGGAAGAAACACAGGGAAGCUUUAUAUUAAUAAAGGUCUUGCGUUGAAUAUUCCUAAGCAACUGUCAAAAGUAAGCAGUUCGUAUGCUUCUUUUCUGGUGACAAUAAUAGACUGGGCCCCAUCCCUUCCCAGAGCUCCCGAUAAGCAACUGGAUCCAGUCUCCACUCCAGAACCUGAAUGGACUUUUUGCUCAAUACAGCUACUGCUGGCCAGUCAGCUUCAUGGGACAUGUGCCAAGAGGUCUUCCAUUCCAUCUUGAGUAAACAAAUUAGAGUCCUAGCAAAAACUCUUCCCAUGAGCCCUUUAACUGACCUAAAUUCAACAUAUGUCAUAAUCUAGGAGGAAGCACCAAAAUGGAAAACUACUUUAAUUCACAGAAGCUAAAGGAGCAAUUGUAAUGUAAGUGGUUUCUACAAAGUAUAUAUGCAGGAUCAGCAAGCAUGGGAAACGCACACCAGCCCCUGCAGGGAUUCUGGGCUACGAGUGCAUGAAGGCAGAGUCGAGACUGUGGAUUCUGGAAGAAGAAUCCCCUUGAGAGAGCAUCUGAUUCAAAAUUCAUCCAUAUAUGACUUAAAAGCCACCCAGGUUGUCAUAUCAUCUGUAAUGAUUAUUCACUAGAGCCAAGAGUGUUUAUAUUCUGAAGAUCAGAACAAGAUUCCCAACAAAACAGUAAGGGAGCAUUUCAGGGAGCAGUGGGAAUAUGUGUGGGAUGAAGCCAAAUUAUAAAGUCAUUAUUAGGGUGGGUAUGGUGGCUCACACCUGUAAUCCCAACACUUUGGAAGGCCAAGGCAAGAAGAGCACAUGAGCCCAGGAGUUCAAGUUCAGCCAGAGCAACCCUCAGGCUGAGGCAGGAGGGUCACUUGACCCAGGGAGGUCGAUGCUGCAGUGAGCUAUGGUAGCACCACUGCACUUCAGCCUGGACAACAGAGUGAGACCCUGUCUCAAAAAAAAAAAAAAAAAAGUCAUUACUUUAAAGGGCUUCCAAAGUCUAUAUAGAAUGAACUGCCAGCAGCCCAAGGAACUAUAAAUGGAGCUCCAUGUAUUUAUGCAAAUGUUGAGGGCAUAUAUUCAUUUCAAAGAGUGUUUGGUUCCUGCUGUAUUAUCAAUGCCUGUCAGUAAAACAUAAUGUUUAACA